UAGAGCGCAACCUUGCCAAGGUUGAGGUCGCGGGUUCGAAUCCCGUUUCUCGCUCCA
rnacentral:tRNA from 1 species